CUGUGGUUUGACAUCUGGUUGUCAGUGCACUAUUCAAUCAACAGGAGGUUUUGGUAUACAGAUAGAUGCUUUAGAUAUUAGAUUUGCAAUAAAUGAAUCCACGGGGAUCUGUUCACAGAGAUUAUACGUGAUCGACGGUUUUGACGAAAGUGACAUUGCUUGUGAUGAUGUCAAUCUUUUUGAAAGACGGAUAUUGUAUUCAAGUUUGACAGACACAAUUCAACUCCGAUAUGACAAUACAUACGAUGGAUCGAAUGGAAACUUCUGGAUCUUAUUACAAGGUCAGUAGUUACAUGUAUGCAGUCUAUAUGUGAUAAAAAGAAAAUAUAAUUAUUGAAAAAUCGUUUACUAUAUCAGAACAUAUAUAUUAGACAACAUUAUUUGAAUAGAUUAAGUUUACAAUAAAAAGCACUUUAUAAAUAUAUUUAUCUUACCUCCAAUACAUUUCUAGGAAUAUGAUUGGUUAAAAGCGUCCGCAUAGAGGCUGUGUAUAUUUCAUAUUAGGUUUGUAGGUAGGCGGGGCUUAUUUCAUACACGGUUAGAAAUGGUGUUACUAUCCUUUAUAAUCUAUAUUAGGUGAGAAGUACACGGUUAGUAGUGGUGUUACGUCCCUUUAUAAAAACAAAACGGUACUGAGAAAAAAUCUUCAAGGUUUCAACAGACGAAGAAAGUGAUGAUUAAGAUUGAAAUAAAUUCAUAAAACACAUUUAAACCUAACAAGUUGUUAUUGUUGGUAUCUGUUUUUGUAGGAUCAAUGGAAGUAGUUUCUUAAUGCUAACAGUAUUGAAGACUUGCUCAUUUUGAUAGGACACUAGUCUAAAUUUCACAAGUUAAGAUAGUCGGUAAGAUAAAUUCCUUACAUAGUGUGCUAGUGACCUAAUACGGUAUAUAUGGGGUCACUAUCACACUAUAUAACUAAUAAUAUUGGGAUUUAUUGUGUAUGAACAUAAAUACAUGUGUUUUCCUUUUUUAUAAUCACUGAUUACUUUUCUAAAAUAUUCAUGCAACAUUAAUUCUGUCUAGUUUGGACUGCUUUUCAAGUAGUUAAUUUAUAUGUAAAAAAAAUGAUAAAAUAAAUGUACACCAUAUUUCCAGCCACAGAUAACAGCCAAACCUUAACGAUAACAUGUAAUGAAGUUCUAUUAACCAACACUGAAUACAAUUGUGGUGAAAACUUCACAAUAAUUUCUCCGGCAACAGGCCCUACCACAACAGAUACUGUGACAACGAAUAGUGAACCAGAUUCGACAUCGAUGCCAACAACAACACCAUCAUCUUUUACGUCUAAAAGUACACACCCUGUUACUGAAGUACUUACUUCCACACUUGAUGCUGAUGCGACUGUUCCUACUGAUGUUACUACUCCGACUGAUCCUACUGAUGUCACUGAUCCCACUGAUGUUACAAAUCCAACUGAUGCUUC
rnacentral:lncRNA from 1 species